AGAUUAAACUAAAGAGUUUGAUCCUGGCUCAGAUUGAACGCUGGCGGCAUGCCUUACACAUGCAAGUCGAACGGCAGCGCGGGGCAACCUGGCGGCGAGUGGCGAACGGGUGAGUAAUAUAUCGGAACGUACCCUGGAGUGGGGGAUAACGUAGCGAAAGUUACGCUAAUACCGCAUACGAUCUAAGGAUGAAAGUGGGGGAUCGCAAGACCUCAUGCUCCUGGAGCGGCCGAUAUCUGAUUAGCUAGUUGGUAGGGUAAAAGCCUACCAAGGCAUCGAUCAGUAGCUGGUCUGAGAGGACGACCAGCCACACUGGAACUGAGACACGGUCCAGACUCCUAC
rnacentral:rRNA from 1 species